ACGCGCCCCCGCCCCCUCCCGGCCAUGCAAGCGGCGGAGACUAGGAGGGGCCAGGAUUGGGCGCCCGUGCGUGAUGACGCACGUGCGGGCGAAGGCGUGGGGAAGACGCAGGCGGGCCGUAGAGAGCACAUGUUACAGUAAUCCUGGGAAGGAGGUAUUAUUCCUAAUUUAAAGUGAAGAAGUUGAAUUUCAGACAGUUUAAGUAAUUUGCCUAGAUCACAGGACUGGUUCAGCCGUCUGUAAACCUCCCUAGAUUCCUAAAACCUGACCACGUUUUCCUCUCACUGGGUUGAUAUCUAACCAUGCAGCGGAGAUCAAGAGGAAUUAAUACUGGGCUUAUUCUGCUCCUUUCUCAAAUCUUCCAUGUUGGGAUCAACAAUAUUCCACCUGUCACCCUAGCAACUUUGGCUCUCAACAUCUGGCUCUUCUUGAAUCCUCUGAAGUCGCUGUAUAACUCCUGCCUUAGCGUGGAGAAGUGUUACCAGCAAAAAGACUGGCAGCGCUUACUGCUCUCCCCGUUCCACCAUGCAGACGACUGGCAUUUGUAUUUCAAUAUGGCAUCCAUGCUAUGGAAAGGAAUAAAUCUGGAAAGAAGACUAGGAAGUAAAUGGUUUGCCUACAUCAUCAUCACAUUCUCCCUACUCACUGGGGUGGUGUACCUGUUCUUGGAAUUUGCUCUUGCAGAAUUUAUGGAUGAACCUGACUUCAGAAGGAACUGUGCUGUAGGUUUCUCAGGAGUUUUGUUUGCUUUGAAAGUUCUUAACAACCAUUAUUGCCCUGGAGGCUUUGUCAACGUUUUGGGCUUUCCUGUACCCAACAAAUUUGCUUGUUGGGCAGAACUUGUGGCUAUUCAUUUCAUCUCGCCAGGGACUUCCUUCGCCGGGCAUCUGGCCGGGAUUCUUGUUGGACUAAUGUACACGCACGGGCCUCUGAAGAAAAUCAUGGAAACGUGUGCAGGCAUGUUUUCCUCCAAUAUUGCUUAUCCAGAACAGCGAUACUACUUUAAUAGUUCAGGCUACUCUGGAUAUCAGGAUUCUUACCCAUAUGGCAGGCCAGGUCACUAUGCAGAAGUACCCAGGAACUAUGAUGUGUACACAGCAGGACUUAGUGAAGAGGAGCAGCUGGAGAGAGCAUUAAGAGCCAGCCUUUGGGACCGAGCGCACCCCAGGAGCGAUGGUAAACCGUGAAAUGCCGGCCGGCCCCACAGCAUAAUUAGCAGGAUCAAACGCUGCCCAGAGAGAAGCACAGUAAUUGUCGUCCGAGGAAAUAGCAGAAGUAGCCCCUCGCCCUAUGGGUUCCGUCUCUCACCAGAAGAAGAAAUGAGGAGACAACGGCUUCACAGAUUUGACGGCCAGUGAGGUGGCACAGCAUCUCAGGCAAAUAAGACCCAGUCGUGUGAUUAUUGCCCGAUUGGUUUAUUCCCCAAGCCCCUACUUGGUCUUAAACAAAAGCAGAGUGCACUAUUAUCGUCCCAGAUUGCUCACAUCUGCCUUGGCUGCUGUGAAUCUAGAUUCACAAGCACAUUGACUUAUCUUGAAACCAGACUUGUUGAGUGUAGCUCACAGCUUUCUGGGAGCGGCCCUUCUCCUGGCCUCUUCUCUCUCACAAACAGGUCAGUUGCUCCACGUAGGGACCAGUUUCCAUGCUCUAGUCUCUCCCUGCCAACUCAGCGGUGCCUCUGCCUUGUUUUGGUUUGAAAGACUGUGACCUUCAGCAGGAGGUUCGUUUUCACCAGCCCGGAAGAUCAAGCCCUCAUUCUGCCCGGCGUGCCCAAUGUUUGACUUGGCAGGAAGUGCCAUCCCUCAUCCUCCUGGCACGUUGCCAUGGUGACUUUCCAGGAAUGGGUUGUGGCCACCAUAGCAGUAUGCUGUUUGAGUCUCCCGUUGGCCCCUGCGUCUGGGUGGUGUUGACAGCGUACCAGCUUUGCUCCUAUAUUGCUCUUCCUUUAAAAAAGCUCGAGCAAGACCUCAGGUGGGAAAGCCACCUACACGCGCCAUUAGAUGUCAGGUGGCACCAACAAUUUGGGCUCACAGCAGCCCUUCCAGGGGCAAUAUACGUUCUCGGGGAUGUGACUUGUGUUAAUCAGGAAAGCAGCAGCAGGUGCCACAUGCAGAGUGGAGCAGUGGCGUGCAGUGGGUUGGUCACUGAGAAAUGCUUCUUGAGGGAGUAUUUUUUUCCUCAUAAAAGUGCCUUUUAAAUGGCCACUGUGACAGCCACUUGUCCUGCCCAAGUGUCCAGGACACUCCCCUGACUCCUGCUGUGUUAUAACCCACAGACCGUCCAGGUCACUUAAGGUGCCUCGUGGUGCUUGUGUUUCGUGAAUAAAAUGACCAAGUCAGAUAUCACUGAUGUCUUAUUGUCACUGAGAUAUUUAUUUUUAAAGAGACUUGGAAGCAGAAAAGGAUCUUCCUAUUUUGAUUUAUCUAGCAUUUAUAUUUAGUUUUCUGAUUAUGAAAGUACUAUAUGUGCCUUAUACGUGCACACAGCUAACAUCUGGAAGGAAAUAUACCCAUAUGUUAAUGGCAGUUAUUUUGGGAGUAGAGAACAUAGGAUUUUGCUUGCUGUCUUUUUACAAUUUUAUACUGCAGUCUUUUAAAAAUAUGUGUAUGUGUAUGUACUUGUAUUACUUCCGCAAUCAGGAAAACUGAUUUAUAUAAUAAUAAAUCAAGAAAUCUAUAAUCAGGAAAA